rnacentral:rRNA from 1 species
UACGGAGGGUGCGAGCGUUGUCCGGAAUCACUGGGCGUAAAGGGCGCGUAGGCGGCGCGGAUAGUCGGCGGUGAAAGCCCGGAGCUCAACUCCGGGUCGGCCGUCGAUACUUCCGGGCUUGAGCACUGUAGAGGCAGAUGGAAUUCCGGGUGUAGCGGUGGAAUGCGUAGAGAUCCGGAAGAACACUGGUGGCGAAGGCGGUCUGCUGGGCAGUUGCUGACGCUGAUGCGCGACAGCGUGGGGAGCAAACAGG